GAGUGAAAUAGAACCUGAAACCGUGUGCUUACAAGUAGUCAGAGCCCGUUAAUGGGUGAUGGCGUGCCUUUUGUAGAAUGAACCGGCGAGUUACGAUUUGAUGCAAGGUUAAGCAGUAAAUGUGGAGCCGUAGCGAAAGCGAGUCUGAAUAGGGCGUUUAGUAUUUGGUCGUAGACCCGAAACCAGGUGAUCUACCCUUGGUCAGGUUGAAGUUCAGGUAACACUGAAUGGAGGACCGAACCGACUUACGUUGAAAAGUGAGCGGAUGAACUGAGGGUAGCGGAGAAAUUCCAAUCGAACCUGGAGAUAGCUGGUUCUCUCCGAAAUAGCUUUAGGGCUAGCCUCAAGUGAUGAUUAUUGGAGGUAGAGCACUGUUUGGACGAGGGGCCCCUCUCGGGUUACCGAAUUCAGACAAACUCCGAAUGCCAAUUAAUUUAACUUGGGAGUCAGAACAUGGGUGAUAAGGUCCGUGUUCGAAAGGGAAACAGCCCAGACCACCAGCUAAGGUCCCAAAAUAUAUGUUAAGUGGAAAAGGAUGUGGCGUUGCCCAGACAACUAGGAUGUUGGCUUAGAAGCAGCCAUCAUUUAAAGAGUGCGUAAUAGCUCACUAGUCGAGUGACACUGCGCCGAAAAUGUACCGGGGCUAAACAUAUUACCGAAGCUGUGGAUUGUCCUUUGGACAAUGGUAGGAGAGCGUUCUAAGGGCGUUGAAGCAUGAUCGUAAGGACAUGUGGAGCGCUUAGAAGUGAGAAUGCCGGUGUGAGUAGCGAAAGACGGGUGAGAAUCCCGUCCACCGAUUGACUAAGGUUUCCAGAGGAAGGCUCGUCCGCUCUGGGUUAGUCGGGUCCUAAGCUGAGGCCGACAGGCGUAGGCGAUGGAUAACAGGUUGAUAUUCCUGUACCACCUAUAAUCGUUUUAAUCGAUGGGGGGACGCAGUAGGAUAGGCGAAGCGUGCGAUUGGAUUGCACGUCUAAGCAGUAAGGCUGAGUAUUAGGCAAAUCCGGUACUCGUUAAGGCUGAGCUGUGAUGGGGAGAAGACAUUGUGUCUUCGAGUCGUUGAUUUCACACUGCCGAGAAAAGCCUCUAGAUAGAAAAUAGGUGCCCGUACCGCAAACCGACACAGGUAGUCAAGAUGAGAAUUCUAAGGUGAGCGAGCGAACUCUCGUUAAGGAACUCGGCAAAAUGACCCCGUAACUUCGGGAGAAGGGGUGCUCUUUAGGGUUAACGCCCAGAAGAGCCGCAGUGAAUAGGCCCAAGCGACUGUUUAUCAAAAACACAGGUCUCUGCUAAACCGUAAGGUGAUGUAUAGGGGCUGACGCCUGCCCGGUGCUGGAAGGUUAAGAGGAGUGGUUAGCUUCUGCGAAGCUACGAAUCGAAGCCCCAGUAAACGGCGGCCGUAACUAUAACGGUCCUAAGGUAGCGAAAUUCCUUGUCGGGUAAGUUCCGACCCGCACGAAAGGCGUAACGAUUUGGGCACUGUCUCAACGAGAGACUCGGUGAAAUCAUAGUACCUGUGAAGAUG
rnacentral:rRNA from 1 species